rnacentral:piRNA from 1 species
UCACUACUCAGGGACUUGUAGAGGCCCAAAC